GCAAACUUGGUCAUUUAGAGGAAGUACAAGUCGUAACAAGGUUUCCGUAGGUGAACCUGCGGAAGGAUCAUUAACAAAUCAAAAGUUAGCUGACGUGUUAAUAUAUGUCAGUGUAACAUAUGUGCUCCGAGCAUUUGUCUUGGUUGCAUCAACAACAUAUAUAUCAUUAUUGUAUAAUUAUCAUCAUCAUUUUGAGAAUAACAUAUGACACUUUUAACAAUGGAUCUCUUGGCUCUUGCAUCGAUGAAGAACGCAGC
rnacentral:misc_RNA from 1 species